GCCGCCAAGGCAGCGACGGAGGGGGCUGUCCCUGGCCAGCUGGUCAAUUUGUUCCCAUCUCAACCUUUGCUGCCCCAGUUUCACAGAACUCCCUUCUCUAGUUUAUUCUUCUCCUGGGAGGUGACAUUUUAGGUUAUUGGGUCACAGAUUGCUGGCACACUCAUCCCUGUUCUCAAACAUCUUUUAAACAUGGGUGAAGUGAUAAGUAGGGGAAGAUGAUUUACUGAAAGCAAUGCAGAGUCUCCCGAGAAGAGAUUCAGACUGAACAGCUUUGUGUCAGACCUUGGAAGACUGCUG